rnacentral:rRNA from 1 species
GACGAACGCUGGCGGCGUGCCUAAUACAUGCAAGUAGAACGCUGAAGGAGGAGCUUGCUUCUCCGGAUGAGUUGCGAACGGGUGAGUAACGCGUAGGUAACCUGCCUGGUAGCGGGGGAUAACUAUUGGAAACGAUAGCUAAUACCGCAUAACAGUAGAUAUUGCAUGAUAUCUGCUUGAAAGGUGCAAUUGCAUCACUACCAGAUGGACCUGCGUUGUAUUAGCUAGUUGGUGGGGUAACGGCUCACCAAGGCGACGAUACAUAGCCGACCUGAGAGGGUGAUCGGCCACACUGGGACUGAGACACGGCCCAGACUCCUACGGGAGGCAGCAGUAGGGAAUCUUCGGCAAUGGACGGAAGUCUGACCGAGCAACGCCGCGUGAGUGAAGAAGGGUUUCGGAUCGUAAAGCUCUGUUGUAAGAGAAGAACGAGUGUGAGAGUGGAAAGUUCACACUGUGACGGUAUCUGACCAGAAAGGGACGGCUAACUACGUG